CGCGUCCCAUUAGCUAGUUGGUGAGGUAAUGGCUCACCAAGUCCGCGAUCGGUAGCCGAACUGAGAGGUUGAUCGGCCACAUUGGCACUGAGACACGGCCCAGACUCCUACGGGAGGCAGCAGUGGGGAAUAUUGGGCAAUGGGCGAAAGCCUGACCCAGCAACGCCGCGUGAAGGAAGAAGGUCUUCGGAUUGUAAACUUCUUUGAUCAGGGACGAAAAAAAUGACGGUACCUGA
rnacentral:rRNA from 1 species